rnacentral:rRNA from 1 species
GACGAACGCUGGCGGCGUGCUUAACACAUGCAAGUCGAGCGGUAAGGCCCUUCGGGGUACACGAGCGGCGAACGGGUGAGUAACACGUGGGUGACCUGCCUCUAGCUCUGGGAUAAGCCUGGGAAACUGGGUCUAAUACCGGAUAUGACUCCACGGCGCAUGUUGUGGGGUGGAAAGCCUUGUGUGGCUAGAGAUGGGCCCGCGGCCUAUCAGCUUGUUGGUGGGGUGAUGGCCUACCAAGGCGA